rnacentral:tRNA from 1 species
UGCGUAGCUCAAUUGGCAGAGCGACGGUCUCCAAAACCGUAGGUUGAGGGUUCGAUUCCUUCCGCAUUUGCCA